rnacentral:rRNA from 1 species
CAGUCGCCACGGUAAUACGAAGGGGGCUAGCGUUGUUCGGAUUUACUGGGCGUAAAGCGCACGUAGGCGGAUCGAUCAGUCAGGGGUGAAAUCCCAGAGCUCAACUCUGGAACUGCCUUUAAUACUGUCGAUCCGGAGUAUGGAAGAGGUGAGUGGAAUUCCGAGUGUAGAGGUGAAAUUCGUAGAUAUUGGGAAGAACACCGGUGGCGAAGGCGGCGACCUGGUCCUUUACUGACGCUGAGGCGCGAAAGCGUGGGGAGCAAACAGGAUUAGAUACCCCUGUAGUCCCUGUCUCUUAUAC